rnacentral:rRNA from 1 species
CACCGGCAGCUCGAGUGAUGGCCGAUAUUAUUGGGCCUAAAGCGUCCGUAGCUGGCCGGACAGGUCCGUUGGGAAAUCCACUCGCUCAACGAGUGGGCGUCCAGCGGAAACCGUCUGGCUUGGGACCGGAAGACCCGAGGGGUACGUCCGGGGUAGGAGUGAAAUCCUGUAAUCCCGGACGGACCACCGGUGGCGAAAGCGCCUCGGGAAGACGGAUCCGACAGUGAGGGACGAAAGCUAGGGUCUCGAACCGGAUUAGAUACCCGGGUAGUCCUAGCUGUAAACGAUGCCCGCUAGGUGUGGCGCAGGCUACGAGCCUACGCUGUGCCGUAGGGAAGCCGUGAAGCGGGCCGCCUGGGAAGUACGUCUGCAAGGAUGAAACUUAAAGGAAUUGGCGGGGGAGCACUACAACCGGAGGAGCCUGCGGUUUAAUUGGACUCAACGCCGGACAUCUCACCAGCUCCGACAGUAGUAAUGAAGGUCAGGCUGAUGGUCUCUGCCCGAGCUACU